ensembl:snRNA U6 U6 spliceosomal RNA
GUGCUCCAUUCGGCAGCACAUAUACUGAAAUUAGAGAUUACCAUGGCCCCUGCAUAAGGAGGACCUGAAAAUUCAUGAAGUGUUCCAUACUUUG